GUUUUUAUAGUAUAUAUUAUAUUACUUAAUUUUUUCAUGAUUAGAAAGUUUUUAACUAAAAAUU
rnacentral:tRNA from 1 species